rnacentral:rRNA from 1 species
UACGAGGGGUGCAAGCGUUGCUCGGAAUUAUUGGGCGUAAAGGGCAGGUAGGUGGUCUUAUUUGUCUUGUGUGAAAUCCUUGGGCUUAACCCAAGAAGUGCGCAAGAAACGGUAAGACUAGAGUCCCAGAGAGGCUUGUGGAAUUCCCGGUGUAGCGGUGAAAUGCGUAGAGAUCGGGAGGAACACCAGAGGCGAAGGCGGCAAGCUGGAUGGGCACUGACACUGGAGAGACGGAAAGCUAGGGGGAGCGAAUGGG